rnacentral:rRNA from 1 species
UAGCGGAGGAAAAGAAACCAACAGGGAUUGCCCCAGUAACGGCGAGUGAAGCGGCAACAGCUCAAAUUUGAAAUCUGGCCCCUAGGGCCCGAGUUGUAAUUUGCAGAGGAUGCUUUUGGCGAGGUGCCUUCCGAGUUCCCUGGAACGGGACGCCAUAGAGGGUGAGAGCCCCGUCUGGUUGGAUGCCGAGCCUCUGUAAAGCUCCUUCGACGAGUCGAGUAGUUUGGGAAUGCUGCUCUAAAUGGGAGGUAUAUGUCUUCUAAAGCUAAAUACCGGCCAGAGACCGAUAGCGCACAAGUAGAGUGAUCGAAAGAUGAAAAGCACUUUGAAAAGAGGGUUAAAUAGUACGUGAAAUUGUUGAAAGGGAAGCACUUAUGACCAGACUUGGACCCGGUGAAUCAUCCAGCGUUCUCGCUGGUGCACUUUGCCGGGCUCAGGCCAGCAUCAGUUUGCCUCGGGGGAUAAAGGCUUUGGGAAUGUGGCUCCCUCGGGAGUGUUAUAGCCCAUUGCACAAUACCCUGGGGCGGACUGAGGUUCGCGCAUCUGCAAGGAUGCUGGCGUAAUGGUCAUCAGUGACCCGUCUUGAAACACGGACC